rnacentral:rRNA from 1 species
UGCUCCUGAUUCAGCGGCGGACGGGUGAGUAAUGCCUAGGAAUCUGCCUGANNNNGGGGGACAACGUUUCGAAANNNACGCUAAUACCGCAUACGUCCUACGGGAGAAAGCAGGGGACCUUCGGGCCUUGCGCUAUCAGAUGAGCCUAGGUCGGAUUAGCUAGUAGGUGAGGUAAUGGCUCACCUAGGCGACGAUCCGUAACUGGUCUGAGAGGAUGAUCAGUCACACUGGAACUGAGACACGGUCCAGACUCCUACGGGAGGCAGCAGUGGGGAAUAUUGGACAAUGGGCGAAAGCCUGAUCCAGCCAUGCCGCGUGUAUGAAGAAGGUCUUCGGAUUGUAAAGCACUUUAAGUUGGGAGGAAGGGCAGUAAGUUAAUACCUUGCUGUUUUGACGUUACCAACAGAAUAAGCACCGGCUAACUUCGUGCCAGCAGCCGCGGUAAUACGAAGGGUGCAAGCGUUAAUCGGAAUUACUGGGCGUAAAGCGCGCGUAGGUGGUUCAGCAAGUUGGAGGUGAAAUCCCCGGGCUCAACCUGGGAACUGCCUCCAAAACUACUGAGCUAGAGUACGGUAGAGGGUAGUGGAAUUUCCUGUGUAGCGGUGAAAUGCGUAGAUAUAGGAAGGAACACCAGUGGCGAAGGCGACUACCUGGACUGAUACUGACACUGAGGUGCGAAAGCGUGNGGAGCAAACAGGAUUAGAUACCCUGGUAGUCCNNNCCGUAAACGAUNNNGACUAGCCGUUGGGAUCCUUGAGAUCUUAGUGGCGCNNNNNNCGCAUUANGUC